GAUGAACGCUGGCGGCGUGCCUAAUACAUGCAAGUCGAGCGAACGGACGAGAAGCUUGCUUCUCUGAUGUUAGCGGCGGACGGGUGAGUAACACGUGGAUAACCUACCUAUAAGACUGGGAUAACUUCGGGAAACCGGAGCUAAUACCGGAUAAUAUUUUGAACCGCAUGGUUCAAAAGUGAAAGACGGUCUUGCUGUCACUGAUAGAUGGAUCAGCGCUGCAUUAGCUAGUUGGUAAGGUAGCGGCUUACCAAGGCAACGAUGGGUAGCCGGCCUGAGAGGGUGACCGGCCACAGUGGGACUGAGAUACGGCCCAGAUUGCGACGGGAGGCAGAAGUGGGGAAUAUUGAACAAUGGGCGGAAGCCUGAAGCAGCAACGCCGCGUGCGGGAGGACGGCCGUCGGGUUGUAAACCGCUUUCGCCUGUGACGAAGCGUGAGUGACGGUAAUGGGUAAAGAAGCACCGGCUAACUACGUG
rnacentral:rRNA from 1 species